GGAGUUGUGGCUCAGUGGUAGACCACUUGCCUAGCAUGUAUGAGGCACUGGGUUUGAUUCUCAGCACUGCA
rnacentral:tRNA from 1 species